CAAGGAAUUUUCCGCAAUGGGGGCAACCCUGACGGAGCAACGCCGCGUGCGGGAUGACGCUUUUCGGAGUGUAAACCGCUUUUCUCGGGGAGGAUGGAGGACAGUACCCGAGGAAGAAGGCCCGGCUAACUACGUGCCAGCAGCCGCGGUAAUACGUAGGGGCCGAGCGUUGUCCGGAGUUAUUGGGCGUAAAGCGCGCGCAGGCGGCCUCGCGCGCCCGACGUGAAAGCCCCCGGCUUAACCGGGGAGGGUCGUUGGGGACGGCGGGGCUUGAGGGCGGGAGAGGUCGGUGGAAUUCCCGGUGUAGUGGUGAAAUGCGUAGAGAUCGGGAGGAACACCUGUGGCGAAGGCGGCCGACUGGGCCGACCCUGACGCUGAGGCGCGAAGGCGUGGGGAGCGAACGGG
rnacentral:rRNA from 1 species